rnacentral:rRNA from 1 species
GGGAGCGAACAGGAUUAGAUACCCUGGUAGUCCACGCCGUAAACGGUGGAUGCUGGAUGUGGGGCCCGUUCCACGGGUUCCGUGUCGGAGCUAACGCGUUAAGCAUCCCGCCUGGGGAGUACGGCCGCAAGGCUAAAACUCAAAGAAAUUGACGGGGGCCCGCACAAGCGGCGGAGCAUGCGGAUUAAUUCGAUGCAACGCGAAGAACCUUACCUGGGCUUGACAUGUUCCCGACGGUCGUAGAGAUACGGCUUCCCUUCGGGGCGGGUUCACAGGUGGUGCAUGGUCGUCGUCAGCUCGUGUCGUGAGAUGUUGGGUUAAGUCCCGCAACGAGCGCAACCCUCGCCCCGUGUUGCCAGCGGAUUAUGCCGGGAACUCACGGGGGACCGCCGGGGUUAACUCGGAGGAAGGUGGGGAUGACGUCAGAUCAUCAUGCCCCUUACGUCCAGGGCUUCACGCAUGCU